rnacentral:rRNA from 1 species
CGCCAGACUCCUACGGGAGGCAGCAGUCGGGAAUAUUGCGCAAUGGAGGAAACUCUGACGCAGUGACGCCGCGUAUAGGAAGAAGGUUUUCGGAUUGUAAACUAUUGUCAUUAGGGAAGAAAAAAGACAGUACCUAAGGAGGAAGCCACGGCUAACUACGUGCCAGCAGCCGCGGUAAUACGGCGGGUGCAAGCGUUACUCGGAAUCACUGGGCGUAAAGAGCGCGUAGGCGGGAUAGCAAGUCAGAUGUGAAAGCCUAUGGCUUAACCAUAGAACCGCAUUUGAAACUGUUAUUCUAGAGUAUGGGAGAGGUAGGUGGAAUUCUUGGUGUAGGGGUAAAAUCCGUAGAGAUCAAGAGGAAUACUCAUUGCGAAGGCGACCUGCUAGAGCAUAACUGACGC